UUGAGCUCAUUCUGGAUCUCUCAGCCUUCUAGACCCGUGCCACUGCAGUGAGGUGAAAACAGCUCGACAUGAGUCUCCUGAAAAUCAUGCUGGAACAGCAUCCCUCAGCCUUGCUGUUCACAGGUGAUGAUUCUGAGCAAGCUGGGUGUUGCAGCACCAGAGCCCUGUGUCCUGAUGACUGCAAGCCUGAGCAUUGGCCUGUCUCAUGUCCUUUGAAUGAUACCAGAUGGUCAACCUCCUUUCCUUUGGGGAAGAGGGUCUGUACAGCUGUGAAGAAUUUGAGCCUGGGAAAGGAGCCUCCAACUCCUCUGCAUUGCUGUUCCCUCUGCCACUUUAAGCCUUCCACUAAGCACAGAGGUCUGGGAGAUAUAUAAUGUGAAGACAGAGGCAAAGAAGGUGUUGGCUGGAACUGAAACCAAGAUGGCAAUGAACUUGCACAAGGAUUGCACAAAGAAUAGAUUUGGUACCAGGUCAGUGGAGAUGAAUGUCAUCUUGGACAUGUUGUGUGGCAAUGCCAGGAACUCUUAGUUAAAAAGCAUUGUAAAACUUGUGAUGAGAAAAACAAGAGAUUACUUUUCCUUAAUCCCUCCCUUUGAAAAGGCCAAAUGGCAUUACAGAGAGCUUAAACAAACGUGUUCAAACUAAGGCAUUUUCUUCUUGUGAAAACUGUUGGCCUAAAACAUUCAAGUUUGGCAAAGAACUGAAAAUAACAGGAGUCAUCAUCCGUGACAUGAAGAUUUUAUUUGCAUCUUAAUACAAAAGUGUCUGUCAGCUUGAUGGUGUUUGAUAAUAAUGAUGUCCUUUUAUUUUUAGCUGCUACUUUUGAAACAUCUCUCUCAAAAAACAGUAGAGAGAAUUACUUAUAAAUGCAGGCUCAAAAAUAUCUCCAUUACAGUCUAUUGGCAGCCCCCUACCCAGCCCCCCACCCAACUUCAACUCUUUGCAAUUAAUUUUUUCAUUGCCAGGAUAAUGCCUUGUUUAUUAGCAAAGGCUACUCAGUGAAAAAAUAAUUUUUCUACUUGUGCUUCAACUGCACACUGAGUAAUGCCAGGAGUAAAUGAUUACUCAGCUGUAAUGUGUUAUCAUAUAGAAAUGCUGUCCAUUUCAUAGUGGAUAAAUUUAAUGGACAGACCACAUACUUGAGUAAUUUAAUCUGUUGGGCAGUUUUUCUGUCAGCCUUAAAUUUCCUGACAGAUUUUUGUGCUUUUAACAUCCUGGUUUUUUUGUUUUCUGUUGUUAAGAUUCCUUGUAUUGAUGAGCUCCCCUGAUUGCCUGUUACAAAAAUAAGUAAAAUUCUAAAUUCUUCUUCUUUAUCUGUUCAACCUUGGCCUUUACACAAGGAGGAAAUGAAUGGAACAUUUUUCCUCAUUUCCU
ensembl:lncRNA